CAAUAGCGUAUAUUAAAGUUGUUGCAGUUAAAAAGCUCGUAGUUGGAUUUCUGAUCGAGACAUCAGGUCGGGUCCGAGAGGAUCAUGUACUUUGAUUUUGUUUUGAUCAUCCUUGGGGAGAGCAUUUCUGGCAUUCAGUUGUCGGGAUUGGGAUCCUCAUCGUUUACUGUGAAAAAAUUAGAGUGUUCAAAGCAGGCCUCGGCCUCUGAAUACAUUAGCAUGGAAUAAUAAGAUAGGACUUUGGUGGUCUAUUUUGUUGGUUUGCACGCCAAAGUAAUGAUUAAUAGGGAUAGUUGGGGGUAGUCGUAUUCAAUUGUCAGAGGUGAAAUUCUUGGAUUUAUGGAAGACGAACUACUGCGAAAGCAUUUACCAAGGAUGUUUUCAUUAA
rnacentral:rRNA from 1 species